rnacentral:lncRNA from 1 species
ACCAGAAUGAGCUGGAAUGACCUCUAGAGAUGUUCUGAGGUCAGCAGGCCAGACCAUUCCUCCUGGAGCCAAUGCUUCAUCGAAUUUUGAUAGGUCCCGGCCCACCCUGCUUGUCCUGUGCCCCUCCUGGCACUGUCUGCUUCAGCCAGGGCUGGCACUCUGUCAGCUUUUGGAACAUAGCUAUGAGCCUUGGAAAGCUGGAGUUUGGUUUAGCAGAGAAAUGCAUUUGAAAUCUUCCCUCUGGACCCCUCCUCACCUCCCUCCAGGACCAAUUUAUCUGCCAGUCCAGCCUCUAAGUGGAGUUGGGGCCAGUUGGAGACCUGCCCAUGCUUGUCACCCUCUGUGGCCAGAUGACAGGACAGCAGCACACAGCUGGGAGAGGGCUGGAAAGUCCCGUGUGCACCUCAUGCUGAACUGGGGAGGCCAGAAGCUUCCAGGCUGCCAAGGAGGGAUGGAGGAGAGGGAGGCCCUUUCCCUCAGGGAGACACUAAGCCUUGGAAUGUGUCCAUAAUCCGUCUGUCUCCCUGUGGUCAUGGCUCCUUCCUCGCUGUGUCCUGAGUCACCGAGUUUCACUGCAGUCCCUGCUUCCUCCCCUUCCUCAUGCCUCACUGCUCCUCACGGAAGGUGCUUCUUCGUGGAGCCGCAUCCCCCUUCUCAUCCCAGUCAGAGGUCUCCAGUGCAAGUCUUUGUUUAAGCGUGAUGCGUCCGACCUGCUUAGGAAGGCUCCGCUCUGCCUCAGCGUUUCCACUUUCCACUGCACUCGCUACUGAACAGUGAUGUUUCGGGAACCGAUGUGGUCUCGUGGGAGAGGAGUGUCACCUCUGCGUGGCACGCACCAACCCAGACAGGCCACUGGGCGCACACAUUGGGCAUUGCUCAGGGUCACCCACCGAGGGGCAGAGUGGAGCCUGGAGCCGCUGUUGCUCCAAGCCACAGACACGGGGCCUUGCUGCCUUGCACACUGUCCUGAAGGUGGAGGGGUGGCUGUGAGGCUCCAGAGGAUCUGUCUGCCCGCUCCCCGAUACGAGCAAACUCUCUCUCCUCCGCGCUUCCUUGGCCCU